rnacentral:lncRNA from 1 species
CUAGUCACUUCUUCCUUUCUUAUACUUGUAAAAUACAUUCAGGGUUAGCCGGGAGUAAACCCGCCAAUUCAACAAUUCUCUAAAUGGUGACAAACACCAAUCAAAACGCAGAGAGUGUCGGCGAAGUCAUGUGAUGUUAGGGUUAAGGAUAUUUCUGUCCAACUUGACGAUCUCAACUAAUCCAUCCAUACGGGUCCUUGUCAAGCAGGCCUUGAUCCUUGUGAGCAUAUGAAUGAGACAACCUGAGAAUUGAUAUCUAUUGUUACGGAUUAAGGCCUUCAAAAUUUGGAAACUAUUCUUGCUGUAUCAUUCAUGAAAUUCGACAUUGGCUCUACCCUAAAUCGAGUCUUCACUACUUCCUUAGCAGCCAGACUCAGAGUCUCA